rnacentral:rRNA from 1 species
CCAAGGAGUUCAGCGUGUACGCGAGUCAUUGGGUGAUAAAACCUAAAGGCGUAAUGAAAGUGAAGGAAACUUCUUGUUUCUGAGGGAGGAUGAGCUGGUUACUCGCAAGAGGCCACUCCGCACUCCCGGGGCGUCUCUUUCUCAUUGCGAGUGGAGGCGCACCCAGAGCGUACACGCUGAUACCCGAAAGAUGGUGAACUAUGCCUGGCCAGGACGAAGCCAGGGGAAACCCUGGUGGAGGUCCGCAGCGAUUCUGACGUGCAAAUCGAUCGUCGGAGCUGGGUAUAGGGGCGAAAGACCAAUCGAACCAUCUAGUAGCUGGUUCCCUCCGAAGUUUCCCUCAGGAUAGCUUGCGCU